AAAUAUUGUCAGAUAACCAAUAACUGUGAUAACUCUGUAGGUAUUCGUUCGACACUAGACAGAUGAACAACCUAAUUAUGAAAGCGAUUGUCCAAGUGAUUAACCUAGUCCUAAUUAGCGUGGUGGUGAUUAUUAUCCCACCGUGCGGGGCUGCACUUGGACGAAGAAAGGCAUAAAAAUCAAGCCUUAAUCUCAAGAGAACCCCCGCACCGAAAGGUCCGGGGGUUUUUUUAUUGGUCCGUUAAAGACGCGAGGAACAUAAAAUGCACAACAGAAUAAAAUCCUGUGCCUCCCGCAAAAG
rfam:Yersinia mollaretii ATCC 43969 contig01617, whole genome shotgun sequence.